AUGGCAAUACUUGUAAAAGGUGCUACGCCACACAGCUGAUAUACGCAGUACAUAUAAAUAUUUUGCAUCGUUAUCGAACUAAAGUUUUGUAGGCGGAAAAAUAGAUUAGAUAGUGCUCCACAGUGUUCCACUACAGCCAGAAAAAUAUAUUUUAAUCGUGUUAUAAUUCGUCUUUACUUUGUCGCGUUAUAUAGUUAUAGUCACGUGCAACGAAAAUGCCUAAUAUAACCAAUUUAUCUCAUUUUCCUUUAAAGAUUAUAUUUGCAAUACAUUUGGUACUUGUAACAUGGAGUAUUCAAGGAAGUUGGUGUCCACAAUCUGUGCUGUUUUAUAAUUCGUUAUUCUUUGUUUGUAUAUUAUGGGCUGUUCAUAGUAUCGAGUCAGAUGAACCACUUCAAUUUGCACUUUUUAUAAAUGUGCUCUCUAUAUUUCUCGAUGUGGUGACUUUAUCAGUUUACUAUCCUUCAGACUUCAGUGCAGCUAAUAAAUUUAGCGCAGCUCUUAUGAUCUUAAAUUUGAUUGCUCGUCCUAUCUCGAGUAUAUAUCUGCUGCGAAUAGGCCAGGCGAGAAACGGCAGCUUAGCCACAGUAUUCGCACCGAGUCCUGCCAUGGGUCAGUAAAUCACUGGGUAGACAUCUACGCUUUUUGUAUUGCGUCAGUGCUUCGUCAAGAUCUGAUUUUAAGUAUGUUAUGGCCGGCAGGACUAUGAGGACAUAUCACAUCCUAUUCCACAAAAUUCCGAUUUUGAUGGAGUUUAAGAUAGAACGAAAUUUGCUUGAAAUAGCAACUCCAAAUAUAAUAUAUACAUGUUUGUGACAUAAUAUAUUUUAGAUAAUGUUGACAUUAUUUAUUGAUGCUGUUAAUACGCAACUUAUUAUAUGAUCGAAAAUUAUAUAUGUGUGUUUAUUUAUUGAUAUUAAUAUUCUCUAUCUUUUGCAUAUAUUUUAUAUAUAAAAUAUUUUUAUAUUUUUUACUUAAUAUGAUAUAAAAAUAUUACGUUGGUGUAAGUUACUUUAAUUAAUCGAUAAUAAUAUUCGAAUUAUAUUUCUCUCAUCCAUUUUGCCAAUUAAUUCAACACUGCGAUUCGAAUCUUAUAUAUUAUGUACUAUAAAUUUCCAUACUGCUUGUUGUAUGUAACUAAUACAGUUUUAAUACAUUGAAAAUUUA